CCGAAAGGUUCUAUUAACUCUCGAUUUGGUGGAGAUGAGACACAAAUCGAUCCGGCUUCCGAACAACACGAUCCGAAACCCUGCAAUUUUUUUUUAUUUUUUUGAUAUUUUUCUUUUACUUAGGUGCACUAAAGAAGUAACCACAGAAAAUUUGAGCUUAAACAAGUGAAAGACGUGGCCUGCGAAAUUUUCUAAAUUUUGUGAAAAAAGUUUAAAAAACUUCACGAGGUGAAAACUUAAACUUCGGAGGCGUAUUUGGAAAUUCUAAAAUUUUCAAACCCGCUAGUGGUAGGGACAGGCAAACCCAAAAAAAUUUUUCUGAUUGAUUUUGAUAUAUGGAACGUUGAAAUCGGAGUUCGUACGCGAAUGUUAUGGCUAUUUUACGAACGGACUCUGAAUUAGAGAACAAAACGGUCCGAAAGUGGGAAAAAUUUGUGGCGAUGGCUAGAAAUUGAUGGAAACGGUGGGGAAAAACAUACUAACUGGUCUCUAACAAGACCUAACCAGCAACAACCUCGACCAGGACACAAACUCAAAACUGCAGACUCUGAAUCUGAAAUAUGCAAAAGCUAUGGCGCGGAAGGGUUGUAGAACAGGAAAACAAUAUGGCACUGGACUUAUGGGACGAACACAAGAACACUCGAAACUAAGGGUAGAUGUGAACCUAACGGUAUACCUAAAGCUUUGAUUACCACUUGAUGAGAACAAGGGUGGCCCGAUCUUCCGAAAAGUUCUGGUAACUCUCGAUUUGGUGGAGACGAGACACAAAUCGAUACAGCUUCUGAAUAACACGAUCCGAAACCCUACAUUUUUUUAUUUUUUUGAAAUUUUUAUUUUACUUAGGAGUGCUAAAGGAGUAACCACAGAAAAUUUGAGCUUAAGCAAGUGACAGACAUGGCCUGUUGAAUUUUCUGAAGAUUGUGAAAAAUGUGAAAAAACUUCACGUAUUGGAAACUCAAACUUCGGAGGCGAAUUUCAGGAUUCUAAAAUUGUCAAACCUGCGAAAGUUAGGGACAAACAGAUUUGAAAUUUUUUCUGAUUUAUUUUGAUAUAUGAAACGUUGAAAUCGGAGUUCGUAUGCGAAGGUUAUGGCUAUUUUACGAACAGACUUCGAAUUAGAGGACAAAACGGUCCGAAAGUGGGAAAAUUUUGCGGCGGUGGCAAGAAAUUGAUGGAAACGGUGGGGAAAAGAUAUGAACUGGACUCUAACAAGACCUAACCAGCAACAAAACCUCGACCAGGACACAAACUCAACACUGCAGACUCUGAAACUGAAAUAUGCAAAGGCUAUGGCGUGGAAGGGUUGUAGGACAGGAAAACGAUAUGGCACUAGACUUAUGGGACGAACACAAGAACACUCAAAACUAACGGUAGAUGUGAACCUAACGGUAUACCUGAAGCUUUGAUUACCACUUGAUGAGAACAAGGGUGGCCCGAUCUUCUGAAAGGUUCUCAUAACUCUCGAUUUGGUGAAGACGAGACACAAAUCGAUCUGGCUUCCAAACAACACAAUCCGAAACCCCGCAUUUUUUUAUUUUUUUAAUAUUUUCCUUUUACUUAGGAGCACUAAAGAAGUAACCACAUAAAAUUUGAGCUUAAUCAAGUAAAAGACGUGGCCUGCGGAAUUUUGUGAAGAUUACAAAAAAUGUGAAAAAAACUUCACAAGGUGAAAACUCAAACUUCGAAGACGAAUUUGGAGAUUCUAAAAUUUUCAAACCCCCCAAAACCGAGGACAGAUAGACACUAAAUUUUUUUCUCAUCGAUUUUGAUAUAUGGAACAUUGAAAUCGGAGUUUGUAUGUGAAAGUUAUGGCUGUUUUACGAACGGACUCCGAAUUAGAGGACAAAACGGUCUGAAAGUGCGAAAAAGGUUCGGCGAUGGCUAGAAAUUUAUGGAAACGGAGGGAAAAAAAUACAAACUGGACUCUAACAAGACCUAACCAGCAACAAGACCUCGACCAGGACACAAACUCAAAACUGCGGACUCGGAAACUGAAAUAUGCAAAGGCUAUGGCGCGGAAGGGUUGUAGGACACAAAAAUGAUAUGGCACUGGACUUAUGGGACAAACACAAGAACACUCGAAACUAAGGGUAGAGGUGAACCUAACGGUAUACCUGAAGCUUUGAUUACCACUUCAUGAGAACAAGGGUGGCCCGAUCUUCCGAAAGGUUCUGUUAACUCUCGAUUUGGUGGAGACGAGACACAAAUCGAUCCGGCUUCCGAACAACACGAUCCGAAACCCUGCAAUUUUUUUUAUUUUUUUGAUAUUUUUCUUUUACUUAGGUGCAUUAAAGAAGUAACCACAGAAAAUAUGAGCUUAAACAAGUGAAAGACGUGGCCUGCGGAAUUUUCUAAAUUUUGUGAAAAUGUGAAAAAAACUUCACGAGGUGAAAACUUAAACUUCGGAGGCGUAUUUGGAAAUUCUAAAAUUUUCAAACCCGCUAGUGGUAGGGACAGGUAGACCCGAAAUUUUUUUCUGAUUGAUUUUGAUAUAUGGAACGUUGAAAUCGGAGUUCGUACGCGAAUGUUAUGCUAUUUUACGAACGGACUCCAAAUUAGAGAACAAAACGGUCCGAAAGUGGGAAAAAUUUGCGGCGAUGGCUAGAAAUUGAUGAAAACGGUGGGGAAAAACAUACUAACUGAACUCUAACAAGACCCAACCAGCAACAACCUCGAUCAGGACACAAACUCAAAACUGCGGACUCUCAAUCUAAAAUAUGUAAAAGCUAUGGCGCGGAAGGGUUGUAGAACAGGAAAACAAUAUGGCACUGGACUUAUGGGACGAACACAAGAACACUAGAAACUAUGAGUAGUUGUGAACCUAGCGGUAUACCUAAAGCUUUGAUUAACACUUGAUGAGAACAAGGGUGGCCCGAUCUUCCGAAAAGUUCUGUUAACUCUCGAUUUGGUGGAGACGAGACACAAAUCGAUACAGCUUCUGAACAACACGAUUCGAAACCCUAUAUUUUUUUAUUUUUUUUGAUAUUUUUAUUUUACUUAGGAGUGCUAAAGGAGUAACCACAGAAAAUUUGAGCUUAAGCAAGUGAAAGACAUGGCCUGUGGAAUUUUCUGAAGAUUGUGAAAAAUAUGAAAAAACUUCACGUAUUAGAAACUCAAACUUCGGAGGCGAAUUUUAGGAUUCUAAAAGUGUCAAACCCGCGAAACUUAGGGACAACCAGAUCUGAAUUUUUUUUCUGAUCGAUUUUGAUAUAUGAAACCUUGAAAUCGGAGUUCGUAUGCGAAAGUUAUGGCUGUUUUACGAGCAGACUUCGAAUUAGAGGACAAAACGGUCCGAAAGUGGAAAAAUUUUGCGCCGGUGGCCAGAAAUUGAUGGAAACGGUGGGGAAAACACAUGAACUGGACUCUAACAAGACCUAACCAGCAACAAGACCUCGACUAGGACACAAACUCAACACUGCGGACUCUGAAACUGAAAUAUGCAAAGGCAAUGGCGCGGAAGGGUUGUAGGACAGGAAAACUAUAUAGCACUGGACUUAUGGAACGAACACAAGAACACUCAAAACUAAGGGUAGAUGUGAACCUAAUGGUAUACAUGAAGCUUUGAUUACCAUUUGAUGAGAACAAGGGUGGCCCAAUCUUCCGAAAAGUUCUAGUAACUCUCGAUUUGGUGGAGACGAGACACAAAUCGAUAUGGCUUCCGAACAACACGAUCCGAAACCCCGCAUUUUUUUUAUUUUUUUAAUAUUUUCCUUUUACUUAGGAGCACUAAAGAAGUAACCACAGAAAAUUUGAACUUAAUCGAGUAAAAGACGUGGCCUGCGGAAUUUUGUGAAGAUUACAAAAAAUGUGAAAAAAACUUCACAAGGUGAAAACUCAAACUUCGAAGACGAAUUUGGAGAUCCUAAAUUUUCAAACCCCCUAAAACCGAGGACAGACAGACACUAUAUUUUUUCUGAUCGAUUUUGAUAUAUGGAACAUUGAAAUCGAAGUUUGUAUGUGAAAGUUAUGGCUGUUUUACGAACGGACUCCGAAUUAGAGGACAAAACGGUCCGAAAGUGGGAAAAUUUUGCGGCGGUGGCA
rnacentral:lncRNA from 1 species